AACGAACGCUGGCGGCAGGCUUAACACAUGCAAGUCGAGCGCCCCGCAAGGGGAGCGGCAGACGGGUGAGUAACGCGUGGGAGUCUACCCAUCUCUACGGAAUAACGCAUGGAAACGUGUGCUAAUACAGUAUACGUCCUUCGGGAGAAAGAUUUAUCGGGGAUGGAUGAGCCCGCGUUGGAUUAGCUAGUUGGUGGGGUAAAGGCCUACCAAGGCGACGAUCCAUAGCUGGUCUGAGAGGAUGAUCAGCCACACUGGGACUGAGACACGGCCCAGACUCCUACGGGAGGCAGCAGUGGGGAAUAUUGGACAAUGGGCGCAAGCCUGAUCCAGCCAUGCCGCGUGAGUGAUGAAGGCCCUAGGGUUGUAAAGCUCUUUCACCGGUGAAGAUAAUGACGGUAACCGGAGAAGAAGCCCCGGCUAACUUCGUGCCAGCAGCCGCCGUAACAC
rnacentral:rRNA from 1 species